rnacentral:siRNA from 1 species
GGAAGAGCAGUUUGGUCAUGGUC